UACAGAGGUCCCGAGCGUUGUUCGGAUUCACUGGGCGUAAAGGGUGCGUAGGUGGCGAGGUAAGUCGGAUGUGAAAGCUCGGAGCUCAACUCCGAAAUGGCAUUGGAAACUACCUUGCUCGAGGGUUGGAGGGGAGACUGGAAUUCUCGGUGUAGCAGUGAAAUGCGUAGAUAUCGAGAGGAACACCAGUGGCGAAGGCGAGUCCCUGGACAACUCCUGACACUGAGGCACGAAAGCUAGGGGAGCAAACAGG
rnacentral:rRNA from 1 species